UACGUAGGGGGCUAGCGUUGUCCGGAAUCAUUGGGCGUAAAGCGCGCGUAGGCGGCCCGGUAAGUCCACUGUGAAAGUCAAAGGCUCAACCUUUGAAUGUCAGUGGAUACUGCCGGGCUAGAGUCCGGAAGAGGCGAGUGGAAUUCCUGGUGUAGCGGUGGAAUGCGCAGAUAUCAGGAGGAACACCAACGGCGAAGGCAGCUCGCUGGGACGGUACUGACGCUGAGGCGCGAAAGCCAGGGGAGCAAACGGG
rnacentral:rRNA from 1 species